AGAGUUUGAUCCUGGCUCAGGACGACGCUGGCGGCAUGCUUUACCCAUGCAAGUCGAACGGACGACCCAUGACGGAUUCUUCGGAUGACGGAUUGGGAAGUUAGUGGCGGACGGGUGAGUAACGCGUGGGUAACCUGCCCUUUAAAUUGGGACAACAGUUGGAAACGACUGCUAAUACCGAAUGUGACGGUUGAGAGGCAUCUCUCGAUCGGGAAAGAUGGCUGAGCUUGAUGCUAUCGUUAAAGGAUGGACCCGCGUCUGAUUAGCUAGUUGGUAGGGUAGCGGCCUACCAAGGCGACGAUCAGUAGCCGACCUGAGAGGGUGAUCGGCCACAUUGGGACUGAGACACGGCCCAGACUCCUACGGGAGGCAGCAGUGGGGAAUUUUCCGCAAUGGGCGCAAGCCUGACGGAGCAAUGCCGCGUGAAUGAAGAAGGUCUUCGGAUCGUAAAGUUCUGUCAUCAAGGAAGAACAGUAGUGAUGUGAAUAAUGUCAUUACCUGACGGUAACUUGAGGAGGAAGCCACGGCUAACUACGUGCCAGCAGCCGCGGU
rnacentral:rRNA from 1 species